rnacentral:rRNA from 1 species
AUUGAACGCUGGCGGCAGGCCUAACACAUGCAAGUCGAACGAGUGGCGGACGGGUGAGUAAUGUCUGGGAAACUGCCCGAUGGAGGGGGAUAACUACUGGAAACGGUAGCUAAUACCGCAUACCAUCGGAUGUGCCCAGGUGGGAUUAGCUAGUGGGUGGGGUAACGGCUCACCUAGGCGACGAUCCCUAGCUGGUCUGAGAGGCUGACCACCCACACGGGAACGGAGACACGGUCAAGACUCCUACGGGAGGCAGCAGUGGGGAAUAUGGCACAAUGGGCGCAAGCCUGAUGCGGCCAGGCCGCGGGUAUGAAGAAGGCCUUCGGGUUGUAAAGUACUUUCAGCGAGUAGGCGUUACUCGCAGAAGAAGCACCGGCUAACUCCGUGCCAGCAGCCGCGGUAAUAC